CCUCAGCACUGAGGUGCAGUUCUCCUUGGAGACGGCAUCCUGGCUGAAAUAUUAUCAUGCUUCCAAAACACUUUCAGCUUUUAUUUUGAAAGAAACAAAACUUGAAAACUAAUCCCCUUAUUCCUCUUUGUAUUUGUUCUUCAGAGGAGUGUCACCUGGACAAACUCAGGGCUAUUCCAGGGCCUUUGCUAUUAUUUGACUCCAUAUAAAUAAAACUGAUUUGAAUCAAACCAUUUGCUGGCAAACAAAAACUCCCAAACAGCUAAAAUACUUUGCUUUAUUCUCUUUUUUAACAAAUACGUUGAAGUGCAUCCAUAACAACACAGCUGAGAUCUCCUUUUUAAUCAAGUGUUUACAUCCUUUGUACAGAUCUGUAUACAAAACAAUCAUUUACGUCCCAUAGAAGUCUAGUUACACUUAACUAUACAAGAACUUGUAAAUGAAAUAAACAUAAAACACAUAAUCACUGGUGAUAACAAAAAAAGAGAAAGAAUUCAUGUGUUAGGGAUGUUUAUGCAGCCCUAACGGCUCAUGUUGGAGAAAAAAACUGAGGUACGUGGAAAGUUCACAUACACAAGUGGGCGUGAGCGCACACACAGAGAGAAAAACACAACUGAACCAUCUGUUUGCUGUUUCUGCUUUCAUCAUUUCAUUUCUGCUGCUUUGUCAGGCUGGAGUAUCUCAGUGACUUGGUUGAGGUGAAGUAUGACGAGUAUCCCUGAUUCAUUCCAUCGAGACAAAGGGGAAAGAAAGCUGUUGUUAACAAACUCUAUGGUGUGGACCUCAGCGCUGAGGUGCAGGAGAGUUUCAGUCAGUUCUCCUUGCAAACAGCAUCCAGCCUGAAAAUACUGUCAUCUUUCCCAGAAAUGGUCGUCUUAUCUCAGAGAAGAACUUUGAUGUAAAAUAACUGCAAUCAACAGGGAUGUUAUGCGCAGAUCACUUUUCCAUUUUGCUCUCUAGAUGAGUCCCAGCUGCCUGACCUUGUGUCCAGGCAGAUUUACAGCAGACAAACAACACGGUGACAGACUUUGACCGCUGCAAAAACAAAGUACCCACCAAGUCUGAAGCAGAUCAGAGGAACUGUUGAGCAGACAGACUGACAGACAAAUAUACAGAUG